GAACAAAAGCAUUUGGAAGUAACAGGACCUCUUUCUAGCUCUCAGAAAAGUCUGAGAAGAAAGGAGCCCUGCGUUCCCCUAAGCUGUGCAGCAGAUACUGUGAUGAUGGAUUGCAAGUGCAAAGAGUAAGACAAAACUCCAGCACAUAAAGGACAAUGACAACCAGAAAGCUUCAGCCCGAUCCUGCCCUUUCCUUGAACGGGACUGGAUCCUAGGAGAUGGUGCUCCUGGCCAGGUGCGAGGGGCACUGCAGCCAGGCGUCACGCUCCGAGCCUUUGGUGUCGUUCAGCACUGUCCUCAAGCAACCCUUCCGUUCCUCCUGUCACUGCUGCCGGCCCCAGACUUCCAAGCUGAAGGCACUGCGGCUGCGAUGCUCAGGGGGCAUGCGACUCACUGCCACCUACCGGUACAUCCUCUCCUGUCACUGCGAGGAAUGCAAUUCCUGAGGCCCGCUGCUGUGUGUGGCUUCUGGAUGGGACAACUGUAGAGGCAGUUCGACCAGCCAGGGAAAGACUGGCAAGAAAAGAGUUAAGGCAAAAAAGGAUGCAACAAUUCUCCCGGGA
rnacentral:lncRNA from 1 species